rnacentral:misc_RNA from 1 species
UUUCCGUAGGUGAACCUGCGGAAGGAUCAUUAUCGUAUAAUCGAGGCACUGGAGCUGUCGCUGACCUUUGAAAAGGUCGUGCACGCUCCCGCGCACUCACACAAUCCAUCUCACACCUUUUGUGCAUCACCGCGGGGGCCCUCUUCCAAAGGGGGCUCACGUUUUUACACACAUACACAAUGCAUGUAUCGAACGUCGUAUACUUAUUUUGCGAUCACACGCAAUUAAUACAACUUUCAACAACGGAUCUCUUGGCUCUC